UUUUUUAUUUUUUAUUUUUUUUAUGUAUGUGUGUGUUUGUGUUUAUGUGGGUCUAGGUUUCUGUUUUGUUGAAUUUGAUUCUGGGCGUUUUUGUAUUGAUUUGAUGUUUUGUGGGUAUUGUAUUGUGGUAGUAGAGGUGUUUUAGGUCGAGGGUUUUUUAGCGUUUUAGUGGAUAAUUGAUGUUUUGAUUUUGAUUUGACUUUUUAAUGGUUUUAUGUGCGGCUGAUUUGUUCGUGUCAUCUGCCUUGGAUAGUUGGAGUGAAUGUUACUGGUGAUUUAUAGUUGCUCUUUUGUUGGUUUUUUGUGCAUAGUUUUGUGCUAUUUAGUGGCCACAGCAAGCCAGUUGAUUGAUUGCUUUUAUUUGGAUUCAGUGUCUUCCCAUUUGGGUGUUGUUAGAGAGGCUUGUGGCCUUGUGUUGUGUGGCUGUGGCAUUUCAUGUAGUUGUUGUCUCUUGGUUAUUCUUUGGUUAAUGGUGGCCUGUUCGUUGCUUGCUCCUUUUUUAUAUGAUUGUAAUUUUUUACUUUUAGGUUGAGCCUAAGAGGGCCAUGUCUAGGGAAGAACAACAAGUGUCGAAGGCUGGGAACCCAAGUUCUGGCAGAAGCUAUGGGGGUGGUGAUGUUAGG
rnacentral:lncRNA from 1 species